CACAAGGACUGUCCCUGAAUGCUAAAUCCUGCAUGCUAAAGUAAAGAAACAAGAUCCUGUGGUCUCAGUCACCACGCUUGAGGGAACCAUUGUGAUCGGUGGAGCUGAAGAGAACAACACAGGCAAGACAAUGCCUUGUUAAGGAUCUUGGAGUUUAUUCAGAGUGGUGGCUGACAUCAAAAUAUUAUAAACAAAGGGCGUGUUGAUCUGAUUACACUUCAGAAGGUGAGGUGGCUUCCAUCAAGAAACUGCCAUCAAAAGAGACAUUAUCUGCUGACUUCAUCAUGGGGAAAUCCCAACCUGGAAGUAUGGAGAGAAGAAGAGGAGGACAUUCUUAGUUCUUUUUCUGUUCCUACUGAAAAUCACAGACUGAAUAAUAGAUCAAUCAUUCCUCAGCUCGGUUCAAAGGCUGGGAGGCUCGAGAUUGGUGGCUGCAACUGGUGAGACCUUCUUGGUGGGGACUGUCUGCAGAGUCCCAAAGCAGUUCAGAGCAUUGCAUGGUGAGACAGAGAAGACUUGCUUGUUCAGGUCUCUCUCUCCCUCUUCUUAUAAAACUACUAGGGUGGACCAAGGGGGUGGCUCUCAAGUGGUAGAACUCAUUCCCACAAGCUCAAGACCCUAGGUUCAAUUCCUCAGUACCAAAAAAUGGAAAAUCACUUAUGCCAUCGUGGGAGUUCCACCUUCAUGAGCUCACCCUAUCCUAAUUAUAUCCCAAGGCCCCACCUCCAAAUCCCAUUGGGACAUUAAUUAUAACAUGAUUUUGGGGGGCCCUUCAAACCAUAACAGUAAAGUUCAGGAAACCUCAGUGUUGUAGCAGGCACUACUACCAAGGGUCCACAGGGGGCUGGGACACAUGGUGUCACUGACCUGUGUAGUUAUGUGGUUUCUAUGUGUACCCAGCAGCCCUGACCCAGAUGUAAAGAGGCAAACUCCAAGAAUCAAUGUUUCCCCCACUUAUAGGUAGUCAGGGGCCAUGAGUGAAGAACCCAAAGGGAAAAUAAAUAUAUUUGAAAUAUUGAGUAGAGAGUUAGU
rnacentral:lncRNA from 1 species